rnacentral:rRNA from 1 species
UAACACAUGCAAGUUGAACGGCCAACAGAAAAAGCUUGCUUUUUGCUGACGAGUGGCGAACGGGUGCGUAACACGUAUGCAACCUACCUUUAACUGAGGGAUAGCCCAAAGAAAUUUGGAUUAAUACCUCAUAAUAUUACGAGAUCUCAUGGUCAUGUAAUUAAAACUCCGGUGGUUAAAGAUGGGCAUGCGCAACAUUAGCUAGUUGGUAAGGUAACGGCUUACCAAGGCAACGAUGUUUAGGGGGUCUUAAAGGAUGGUCCCCCACACUGGUACUGAGACACGGACCAGACUCCUACGGGAGGCAGCAGUGAGGAAUAUUGGUCAAUGGACGAAAGUCUGAACCAGCCAUGCCGCGUGAAGGAUGACGGCCCUAUGGGUUGUAAACUUCUUUUAUAUAGGAAGAAACCCCUCUACGUGUAGAGGGCUGACSGUACUAUAAGAAUAAGCACCGGCUAACUCCGUGCCAGCAGCUCGCGGUAAUACGGAGGGUGCAAGCGUUAUCCCGAUUUAUUAGGUUAAAGGG